CUUCCCUCCUCUAAAACCACGACAUAAAAAUAGAGUAAACAAGAAGAAACAAACUUCAAUCUUAUUUUUUUUGCUCCAUCAUUGAACAUGAUAUCUUGUGGUGGCCAGUCGAUAACUGCUUUGGUGGUGCAAUCGCUAGUGAGGCUGGUGGUGAUGAUGGCGGAAGAACCGGCGGCAUCAGUCACAACCAUCCUUUACCGCAGCGGUAUUCUUCCUCAAAACACCAUUCUUGGGCGGUUUGUUCAUCAUGGUCGAUUCCUUGAUGACAACAAUAUCUUCUUUAAUUUUAUUGUUCAUUUCUUGAGAUGUUUAUGGUAGAGAAUACACUUUCCGACACCUUACGUUUAUAGAUUUGUCAUGUUAUUUACACGCGCUUUUUAGAACUCUGAGUUGUUGAACUCCGAGUGUUAAUUAUUUUGCACAUCAACUGCUAGGUUGAAAACAAA